rnacentral:rRNA from 1 species
UACAGGGGGUGCAAACGUUGCUCGGAAUCAUUGGGCGUAAAGCGCACGUAGGCGGUUCGUUAUGUCGGAUGUGAAAGCCCUUGGCUUAACCGAGGAAGUGCAUCCGAAACUGGCGAGCUAGAGUACGAAAGAGGAUCGCGGAAUUCCCGGUGUAGAGGUGAAAUUCGUAGAUAUUGGGAAGAACACCGGUGGCGAAGGCGGCUCACUGGCUCGUAACUGACGCUGAGGAGCGAAAGCAUGGGGAGCGAACAGG